rnacentral:lncRNA from 1 species
UGAGAAUUUUGCCUACCUAUUCCCUGGGGAGCUGAAGGUUCUGGCUAUCCUGCUAUCCUGUGAUCCUAAUAUAUCCUGGUGUCUGGUGUAAGAUCCUAUCAAAUCAGCCUCCACAUUUAUCAUCUACCUGUGUUCCUGUGUUCCUGUGUACUGAGUGUUUCCUGACUCCUGAGAAGAGGACUGCCAUCAACUCAGAAAACAAAGAAAAAUUAGUGUCCUCACUAGAACAAUUUAGGUAAGUUGUUCCACGUGUUCUCAAAUGACACAACAUGCUGCAUGAUAUCGCUUUACUUGAAUUGUAUGAGGAUGUACAUAUGGUGAUAUACAUUCAUCUAGAAGUAGUGGAAAUAUAUCAAAAGGACCAG